rnacentral:rRNA from 1 species
UACGUAGGGUGCAAGCGUUAAUCGGAAUUACUGGGCGUAAAGCGUGCGCAGGCGGUUGUGUAAGACAGAUGUGAAAUCCCCGGGCUCAACCUGGGAACUGCAUUUGUGACUGCACGGCUGGAGUGCGGCAGAGGAGACUGGAAUUCCUGGUGUAGCAGUGAAAUGCGUAGAUAUCAGGAGGAACACCGAUGGCGAAGGCAGGUCUCUGGGCUGACACUGACGCUCAUGCACGAAAGCGUGGGGAGCAAACAGG